UAUCAAAUCAUUUCCUGCGGAAGAAACACGCGCUUCAGAGCUUAUCCCAAAUUCGAAAGAACCCUAAAUUAUUCCGAUCUGCUAAUUUCUGCCGAUUGAUCAAAGAAGCGAUUGUUUUUGGAAAAAAAAGUGAUCGGUAUGGGUAAUACGGACAAGCUGAUGAACCAAAUCUUUGAAUUGAAAUUCACGUCAAAGUCUCUGCAGAGGCAAGCGAGGAAGUGCGAGGAAGAGGAGAAGUCGGAGAAGCUUAAGGUGAAGAAAGCCAUUGAGAAAGGUAACAUGGAUGGUGCUCGGAUCUAUGCCGAGAACGCUAUUCGCAAGCGCAGCGAGCAGAUGAACUACCUUCGUCUCUCCUCUCGCUUGGACGCUGUUGUUGCUCGCCUUGAUACUCAGGCCAAGAUGGCCACCAUCACCAAAUCUAUGACUAGCAUUGUCAAAUCCCUCGAAUCUUCUCUUGCCACCGGCAACUUACAGAAGAUGUCAGAGACAAUGGACUCGUUUGAGAAACAGUUUGUGAACAUGGAAGUUCAAGCUGAGUUCAUGGAGAACGCAAUGGCUGGCUCUACUUCAUUGUCGACUCCAGAGGGAGAAGUUAACAGCUUGAUGCAGCAAGUAGCAGAUGAUUACGGUCUUGAAGUUUCUGUUGGACUGCCUCAGCCUGCUGGCCAUGCCAUUCCUACCAAGACUGAAGAGAAAGUUGAGGAGGAUGAUUUAUCCAGGAGGCUCGCUGAGCUUAAAGCCAGAGGAUAGAGGACGGAAGAGCAUUUGAGGGGGUUGGGGAUGCCAGAAGUAAAAAGAAGCCCACUCAGAGUUUCUGCGAUGAUGCUAGAAGGUUUGUGGUUGAACGGGAUGGUGCUGCAGACAGCAGCUUGGUGGGAUGGGAAGAGGAUUUGUAAGUUGAGGUAUCAGUAUCAUCUGAUUGGCGUAGUCGAACCAUUCAAGUUCGUUGUUAUUUUAUCUAUUUCUUUAUACGCAUUUGUAUAUAUCAACUAAAUUUUGUGUAUAUUAUUAACACUUUAAUAGUGAU